ensembl:lncRNA
CAGGCGGGGAACCCGAGACCCCCCGGGACGGGGCCCGGGCAGGGAGAGCAGACUCGAGCAAGGAGUACUUCUCCCUCCGCCUUUGGAAAAACUCGCUUCCUUCAAGUCGGAGUGGCCGUGAGAGCGCGUGUGCGUUGUGUGAGCCUGAGAGUGAAUGUGCUUGUGAGCGAGAGUGUAAGCUGAGUGUGAGCGCGGGGGUGUGGGGAAGCAGCAGCUCCCUGCCCCGACGGCCUGGUGCGCGACGGCCGGCGCAUCUUCAUCCCACCCUCAGGCUGAGGCCCUCUUCUGGCCUGAGGGUCGGAUCUCCGGCGGUGCGGAUAAAACCCCGCCACCACCUUGGCGGUCUCUGCGGCGACCUCCCCGGCAGAGGCGCAGGAGAUGAGCGCGGAUGUGGUGGAAUGAGGAAGGGAGCCGAGGAAGGCAGCCGAGGAAGGCUGCCGAGGAAGGCUGGGGGUCGGAGGGAUAUGAUGACGAAUAAUUGGGCGACUUCUGUGCUGGGCUCGACCAGCCCCUCUUUGUUUGAGGUCAAGAAGCUUUUCUCUCAGGAGCACAUCCCCCUGCAGGGGUCUGAGAAGGAGAGAUACGGGAGCCUGUAGUUUGUUUUUGGUGAGCCUCUCACCAAACGCACCAUUUUCAGACUUUGUCACUUAUUGUGUCCAAAUUCCCCUGGGCCUUAAGGGGACAACUAGAAUAUGCAGGAUUUGGAAAAAUGUUAACAUUCCCCUCCUUUGGUCGUUUGGCUUCAUUAUCUUUGUUUAUGCCCCGGAAGAAUAAAAAAGUUAGAAACAUACAAACCUCACAACCUAAUUUGUCCCUGCAGAAGGUUUUGGGGGCCCUGCCCCAAGCCUCCACAUCUCAGGGGGUGGCCUCAUACUAAAGGUAGUAGGCACAGUUGCUCAGAUCAAAAACCUAGGAGUCGUCCCUUGUCCCAACUCCUCAUUCCUUGAAUUCAAUGGUUAGCAAGUCCUGUUGGGUCUCAAAGGUGUGUGGGGUCCAUCCCCUUCCUUUUUAUGGCCCACUCUAGUCCAAGCCACCAGCAUCUCUUACCUGUGCAAUUGCAGUGCUUCCCAUACGCCCAGUCUCCAUUUGGCAGCCAUGGUGAUUUUUUUUUUUUUUUUAAGGUAAAUUCGAGAGUGUCAGUCUUCUGCUUGUAACCCUUCAAUAACAUCUCCUUAUGCUUGUCACGAAAUCCAGAAGACCUCCUCCCGUCCGCAUCCCUGCAGCUGAUCUGGCUUCUGCCGUCUCAGAUCACCUGGCCAUUGCCUCCCCACCCAGCCACCCCCUCUAAACCCAGCCUCACUCUCACAUCUCUCUGUGUAUGUCCUUGCAGUUGCCAAUGGCUGUGUGUUCCUACUCUAUCUUUUGAAUUACUCCUUUAAUUUACCUGGAAGUCUCCAUUGGAGACUCCAGGUGUCAGAGACCUUUCCAGAGUCCCUGCUCACUGUUGCAUCUUCACUCCCAGAGCUGCUCCAGAGGGUUCCAAAUGCAUACAGGUAGAGAGACAGUGGUGGAAAGACAGUAUGAACUUGUUUGUGGCUUUAGGCUCACAAAGGGCUUCUGUUCUCAUCUGGGCCUGAGAACUACACAUUUCUACGGUUUGUAGCACCGUAAUAUUUUGAUGUCUACAAAUCUAUUAAACACCUGGGAGUUCCCGUCGUGGCGCAGUGGUUAACGAAUCCGACUAGGAACCAUAAGGUUGCGGGUUCGGUCCCUGCCCUUGCUCAGUGGGUUAACGAUUCAGCGUUGCCGUGACCUGUGGUGUAGGUUGCAGACGCGGCUCAGAUCUCGCGUUGCUGUGGCUCCGGCAUAGGCCGGAGACCACAGCUCCGAUUGGACCCCUAGCCUGGGAACCUCCAUAUGCCGCGGGAGCGGCCCAAGAAAUAGCAAAAAGACAAAAA